AGCUCUUGCCAGUACACUCGGGAUCCUACUGCAGGGAGAUGCAGUGUGUGCUCUUCCACAGUUCCCCAGAAGGACAGCCAGCAUUCACACUGCUGAUUCAGAACGCUGACUCAGCCACCUGCAUGCCUAUCCUAAUCCCUAGCUGUUUGAGCAACUGGGUAAGGCAGGAGGUUGGCAAUAAAUAGAAAUAUUUGUUCAGCUUGGCUCGGAUUCCACUUCCACUCACCGCCAGCUGUGUGACACUGGGUAAAGUUCCCUGUCACCUCGGGGUCUUGGUUCCACCUCUGUGGUUGGAGUCAUUGUGUGGAAAGACUUUGGCAUGGAGCAGAUGAGGAAGUCGGUGGAUGGCACAAAGUCAGAGUGCCAGAGUUAGCCAUGGAAGCAAGGCUAACAGAGCCCAGACAGCAGCCUGCACCAUGCAGAACUGCACCGGCAGUUCCUGCCUUAAGAUUUGUCCUUAUUUGAUGGGGAUGAGCACCUAAUUGGACCAUGGCUGGAUGGAUUUUCCGUUGUUUGCAGCUGACAGCUUGCCUGGAUGUCGGUCUGCGGUGUUAAAUUCGAUUUAAGAAAUGUCAGCUCUGAAGUCCUCAGUGGAGACUCUUAAAUAUGUCCCGUGACCACUGUGAUAACAUUGGCACCCAGAAGAGAUGGAGCACACCCCUGGGAGCUGUAGAGACUUGAGCACGCGGUCUGCUUUGGAGACAAGCAGAGCUGUCAGCAUCCCUCAUGGGCUGCCUCUGAGGUCACUCUAUGGUGAGCAUUGCUUUCUAAAGACAGAGCAGAGGUCAGAGGUCAGUUCUCUGGAAAGGUGAAGAAAUGUCAGAAGGUCAUCGUUCUCCUCACCAGAGAGAUUCGUGGAUUACAUGCUCAGCACUGUGCAGAAGGUGACAGGUGGUCAGGUGUGACUUCUGUCACCGGGAGCCAGCCGUCCACAAAGGAAAUGGCCUAAUCGUAUGCGCUAUGAUGGAGGGAGAGCACAGGACUCUGCUGUGCCUGCAUGCGCUCUCUCAAAAAAGAUAUAUAAAGUGGGUGACUUCUGAAGUUGUCCCAUCCCUGAUGCUAGGAAACCCUCUAUGUCCUUUAAAAUGCUGUGCUGCAAAGCCCAACAACAGGGAAACCAACAACAUCAUUAAAACUCGGGAAAAGCCAGCUGUGGUGGAGCACACUUAUGUCCCAGCACUUGGGGAGGAAGAAGCAUAAAGUUCACCUAGGAUUCAGGGUGAACCAGGGCUUCGUAGUGAGACCCUGUCUCAAAAACAAAACAAACCCAAACAAAACAAACAAACAAACAAGACAAAACAAACCCCAGUAGGAUUGGAGGGAUGGAUUGGUGGGCAAGCAUGAGGGUCUGAGUUCGGAUCCCAGGCCCCAUGUAAAAAAAUCUGGAUACACUUGUGCGUUCCUAUAACCUCAGCACUGUCGGAGACAGGGUAGCAGGGCUUGCUGGUUGCCCUUUCAGUUCAGAUCCAGGUUCAGCGAGUGAUGCUGUCUUAAAGGAAUAGGUAGAAGAAGAUAGAACAGGGUGCCUAAUGUCCUCUGGGCCUUUCAUGUGUGUACCUAUGUGCCACCAAACACACACACACACACACACACACACACACACACACUGCUGCAACCACCAAUAAUAACAAAGGCAAAAUUCCUGAGUACAGUCCUUCCCAGACAAGACACAGAGAGCAAAUAAGUGUGUGAGAAGACGCUGACAUUAAACAGGAAAUCAGAACACCAGCUCGAUGCUAUUAGACAGCAGUGAAGAGGGCCAAAUUGUACAUUGAUGCUAUCAAAUGCUGAUGAGGAUGUAGAGAAACCAAGACAUCUUAGCAGUUUCUUGUAUAUCCGUAUCUUCUUCCCAUAUAGUUCCAUAGCUGUGUUCCUAGGUGUCUACUCAAAGGAGUUGAAAAGUUAAGGUCACACAAAAAAACUGUCCACAGACGUUUGCAGCUGUCCCUCAUGAUUGGCCAACCUCACAAGCAACAAAGAAAGUAAAUAAAUACAUCACUGUGUGUCCAGACAAUGGACUUUUCUUCAGUAACCAAAAGGAAUGAGCUACCAUGCCAAAAGAUUCGGGGGAUCCUUUAAGCCACAAGUGAGGGUCAGAAGCCAUUCUGAAUCAUUCCAACCAUCAGAUGCCCCACAGCAGGUAAAGGCCAGAUGUUGGAGAGGGAAGACACAAGCUGGCAAAAAGAGAGUGUUUGGGACAGACAAACCAUUUGGGAUGAUGCUCUUAUAAAAGCUAUGUGCCACUAUAUACCAUCCAACACUUGGAGCAGCUUCAUGUGUCCGUGUAAGCUCCUCCAUCUCCAUAGUUUACACCAUUAUGCUUGGAGGUGUUGAUAGGGGUGGAGUUUCAGUAGACUUUAAAGGUUAAGCCUAGGUGAGAUGGCUCAGUGGGUAAGAGCACCCCACUGCUCUUCCAAAGGUCCGGAGUUCAAAUCCCAGUAACCACAUGGUGGCUCACAACCAUCCGUAACGAGAUCUGACUCCCUCUUCUGGAGUGUCUGAGGACAGCUACAGUGUACUUACAUACAAUAAAUAAAUAAAUAAAUAAAUCUUUAAAAAAAAUGUUAAGCCUAUUGAAAACAAAACCAAACAAUAACACAACAACAAAACUCCCCUUGUCAAGUGUGGUUAGGAACAUGGGUUUUGGCUAUGGACUCUGAGUUGGAAUUGUGACUCUGACGCCAAGGCAGUGACUGUCAGCAAAUGAGCACGGGAGGAGUGCCUGCUUUAUGGGUCUCUAUGAAGACUGGAAGAAUUAACAGAUCUAAAGCAUCCAGUGCUUGGUACCUGUGGGCACUCCAUCAACAUUAGCUACUAUUUAAAAAUGAAUGUUUUAAAGAGCCAUUCCAAUCGGUUGGCUGCUACUAGCCUUAGGCACUGCAGUCCUUUGCUGUCUGGAUGCACGAUCGCAUGCUUGAAAAGAAUGACUUCUCCCCGCUGUGACAGAGUGGAAGCUCUCUUUCGGAGGCAGAGACCGCAAGUCCAUACAUGUUCUGAGGCCCAGAGAAAAUGUUCUUGACAGGACCAUUCCAACAUCCCCAGCAGCAAAACCCGACAGCCUCUGCACUUGAGAAUCCUCUGCCCGAGUGACCUGGCACAACCCCAGCCUGCAUCCUGCCCUUCAUCAGCCAAGCAUUGUUCUGUGUCUGCUGUGGCUCCAGGGAGGAAAGCUCGCAUGGAGUUAGGUUCGUGCUCUGCCACGAGGUCAUUUUCUCCUGACCAGAACCUUGAGCACAUUGACAGAGGAUGCCCUCCAGUGUGGGAUGCUGAAAUCUGAAGUCACUCUCUUUUACUACCACAUACUCUUUUUGUCUCUUUUACACGUACACACACACACACACACACACACACACACACACACACACACACGACCUUAUUGAAGCCUCACAGCAAUCCUACAGGCUCUAGGGGCACUGAGUCUGCUAGGAUUCUUAGUCACUGUGAGGUGUAAUUUGGACCCACUUGGCUGACUUCAAAGCCACCUUCAGUCUAUAAUGGGUUUUUUGGUGGUUUGUUUGUUUGUUUGUUUUGUUUUGGGGCACAGGGUAGAGACAGGGUUUCUCUAUGUAGCCCUGGCUGUCCUAAAACAUACUCUCUAGACCA